GCCCGCAUAGCUCAAGUAUGUCACCCCGUCUGGUACUGGAUUCAAGAAGCUUGAUCACUAACAAAUUCACAGUGGUAGAGCGCGUCACUAGUAAUGACGAGGUUGCCGGUUCGAUUCCGUCUGUGGGCA